AGAGCGAACGCUGGCGGCAGGCCUAAUACAUGCAAGUCGAGCGGCCACUUCGGUGGCAGCGGCGGACGGGUGAGUAACGCGUGGGAAUGUGCCCUUUGGUACGGAACAACUGAGGGAAACUUCAGCUAAUACCGUAUGUGCCCUUCGGGGGAAAGAUUUAUUGCCAUUGGAGCAGCCCGCGUUGGAUUAGCUAGUUGGUGGGGUAAAGGCCCACCAAGGCGACGAUCCAUAGCUGGUCUGAGAGGAUGAUCAGCCACACUGGGACUGAGACACGGCCCAGACUCCUACGGGAGGCAGCAGUAGGGAAUCUUGCGCAAUGGGCGAAAGCCUGACGCAGCCAUGCCGCGUGAAUGAUGAAGGUCUUAGGAUUGUAAAAUUCUUUCACCGGGAAGAUAAUGACGGUACCGGAGAAGAAGCCCCGGCUAACUCGUGCCAGCAGCCGC
rnacentral:rRNA from 1 species